rnacentral:rRNA from 1 species
ACCAACAGGGAUUGCCCUAGUAACGGCGAGUGAAGCGGCAACAGCUCAAAUUUGAAAUCUGGCUCUUUCAGAGUCCGAGUUGUAAUUUGCAGAGGGCGCUUUGGCUUUGGCAGCGGUCCAAGUUCCUUGGAACAGGACGUCACAGAGGGUGAGAAUCCCGUACGUGGUCGCUAGCUAUUGCCGUGUAAAGCCCCUUCGACGAGUCGAGUUGUUUGGGAAUGCAGCUCUAAAUGGGAGGUAAAUUUCUUCUAAAGCUAAAUAUUGGCCAGAGACCGAUAGCGCACAAGUAGAGUGAUCGAAAGAUGAAAAGCACUUUGGAAAGAGAGUCAAACAGCACGUGAAAUUGUUGAAAGGGAAGCGCUUGCAGCCAGACUUGCUUGCAGUUGCUCAUCCGGGCUUUUGCCCGGUGCACUCUUCUGCAGGCAGGCCAGCAUCAGUUUGGGCGGUGGGAUAAAGGUCUCUGUCAUGUACCUCUCUUCGGGGAGGCCUUAUAGGGGAGGCGACAUACCACCAGCCUAGACUGAGGUCCGCGCAUCUGCUAGGAUGCUGGCGUAAUGGCUGUAAGCGGCCCGUCUUGAAACACGGACCAAGGAGUCUAACAUCUAUGCGAGUGUUUGGGUGUCAAGCCCGAGCGCGUAAUGAAAGUGAACGGAGGUGGGAACCCGCAAGGGUGCACCAUCGACCGAUCCUGAAGUUUACGGAAGGAUUUGAGUAAGAGCAUGGCUGUUGGGACCCGAAAGAUGGUGAACUAUGCUUGAAUAGGGUGAAGCCAGAGGAAACUCUGGUGGAGGCUCGCAGCGGUUCUGACGUGCAAAUCGAUCGUCAAAUUUGGGCAUAGGGGCGAAAGACUAAUCGAACU